rnacentral:rRNA from 1 species
GAUGAACGCUGGCGGCGUGCCUAAUACAUGCAAGUCGAGCGAACGGACGAGAAGCUUGCUUCUCUGAUGUUAGCGGCGGACGGGUGAGUAACACGUGGAUAAUCUACCUAUAAGACUGAGAUAACUUCGGGAAACCGUAUCUAAUACCGGAUAAUAUUCUGCACCGCAUGGUUCAAAAGUGAAAGACGGUCUUGCUGUCACUUAUAGAUGGAUCUGCGCUGCAUUAGCUAGUUGGUAAGGUAACGGCUUAUCAAGGCAACGAUGCAUAGCCGAACUGAGAGGGUGAUCGGCCACACGGGAACGGAGACGCGGUCCAGGCUCCUACGGGAGGCAGCAGUAGGGAAUCUUCGGCAAUGGGGGAAAGCCUUACGGAGCAACGGCGCGCGAGUGAUGAAGGUCUUCGGAUCGUAAAGCUCUGUUAUUAGGUAUGAACAUAUGUGUAAGUAGCUGUGCACAUCUUGACGGUACCGAAUCAGAAAGCAACGGCUAACUACGUG